rnacentral:tRNA from 1 species
CAAACUAACUCUUAGGAGGUAUAUUAUUUACAUUAAUAUUUUGGUUCGUGCAAUUCGAUCUAGUUUGA